rnacentral:rRNA from 1 species
GACGAAGGGGGCUAGCGUUGUUCGGAAUUACUGGGCGUAAAGCGUGCGCAGGCGGCGCGUUAAGACAGGUGUGAAAGCCCCGAGCUUAACUUGGGAAUUGCGCUUGUGACUGUCGAGCUCGAGUCCGGAAGAGGCGAGUGGAAUUCCUGGUGUAGCGGUGAAAUGCGCAGAUAUCAGGAGGAACACCAAUGGCGAAGGCAGCUCGCUGGGACGUGACUGACGCUGAGACGCGAAAGCGUGGGGAGCAAACAGG